rnacentral:misc_RNA from 1 species
AAGUCGUAACAAGGUUUCCGUAGGUGAACCUGCGGAAGGAUCAUUAACACGUAUCCACGUAUCAACCAAAUGCGAACUUGUUUUCACCUCCCUGGGCUGGCGCAUGAGAAGGAAGUAUGGAGACUAUUGAGUGGGACGUAAGUCCGGUCUUCUUACCUAUUUGUUGGGGUUCGCCUCAAUUGACUUCUGUAGCGACAACGCAGGACAAACUAUCUUGUCUCUAACAAUCCCCAUUCAGGGUUAUCAUUGAUGGGAGCAAACAUUAACUUAUUUCACCCCCUUUUUGCUAGUUGACUUUUUAUAUGUUGUUUACUGUUGCGAUUUAAUUAUCGUCGUAGUACUCACACGUUUAUUUACUUGAACGUUAAAAAUACAACUCUUAGCAAUGGAUAUCUUGGUUCUC